rnacentral:rRNA from 1 species
GAUGAACGCUGGCGGCGUGCCUAAUACAUGCAAGUCGAGCGAACAGAUGAGGAGCUUGCUCCUCUGACGUUAGCGGAGGACGGGUGAGUAACACGUGGAUAACCUACCUAUAAGACUGGGAAAACCUCGGGAAACCGGAGCUAAUACCGGAUAAUAUAUUGAACCGCAUUGUUCAAUAGUGAAAGACGGUUUUGCUGUCACUUAUAGAUGGAUCCGCGCCGCAUUAGCUUGUUGUUAAGGUAACGGCUUACCAAGGCAACGAUGCGUAGCCGAACUGAUAGAGUGAUCGUCCACCUUAGAACAUGGACACGGUCCUGACUCCUACGGGAGGCGGCAGUAGGGAAUCUUCCGCAAUGGUCGAAAGCCUUGCGGAGCAACGCCGCGUGAGUGAUGAAGAUCUUCGGAUCGUAAAACUCUGUUAUUAGGGAAGAACAAAUGUGUAAGUAACUAUGCACGUCUUGACGGUACCUAAUCAGAAAGCCACGGCUAACUACGUG